UCUGGAUAGCGUAAGCGUUAACUCAAAUUUGUAUGGAGUCGGAACGUUUGUCUACGUUUGCCGCUAGGGGCGCUGUUCCAACUGCAUACAAGUUUGAGUUCACUUUUAUGCUAACGA
rnacentral:pre_miRNA from 9 species